AAGAACUUUAUUAGAAACUUAAUUUUAUUUCAUUUUAGAGCAUGGGAUGUGCUUAUAUAAGCAAUGCAAUUACAAGAAAUACAAUUACAUAAAAAGGUAAAAUUGAAACCAUCAAAAUUUCUUCGGGAGAAAAUUCUCCAAAGAGUAAACCGUAAAUUGCAAUAAUUAUAAAUCCUAUUACAAAAACUAAAAACGGAUGAGUCAUUUUCCUAAAUGAAAACUUAAACAAAUUUCUUAGAAAAAUAUAU
rnacentral:lncRNA from 1 species